AGGCAUGGGGGGUGCUAUAAUGCAAGUCGAGCGAAUGAUGAGGAGCUUGCUCCUCUGAUUUAGCGGCGGACGGGUGAGUAACACGUGGGUAAUCUGCCUGUAAGACGGGGAUAACUCCGGGAAACCGGGGCUAAUACCGGAUAAUAAGAGAAGAAGCAUUUCUUCUUUUUGAAAGUCGGUUUCGGCUGACACUUACAGAUGAGCCCGCGGCGCAUUAGCUAGUUGGUGAGGUAACGGCUCACCAAGGCGACGAUGCGUAGCCGACCUGAGAGGGUGAUCGGCCACACUGGGACUGAGACACGGCCCAGACUCCUACGGGAGGCAGCAGUAGGGAAUCUUCGGCAAUGGGCGAAAGCCUGACCGAGCAACGCCGCGUGAGCGAUGAAGGCCUUCGGGUCGUAAAGCUCUGUUGUUAGAGAAGAACAAGUACGAGAGUAACUGCUCGUACCUUGACGGUACCUAACCAGAAAGCCACGGCUAACUACGUGCCAGCAGCCGCGGUAAUACGUAGGUGGCAAGCGUUAUCCGGAAUUAUUGGGCGUAAAGCGCGCGCAGGCGGUCUCUUAAGUCUGAUGUGAAAGCCCACGGCUCAACCGUGGAGGGUCAUUGGAAACUGGGAGACUUGAGUGCAGGAGAGAAAAGUGGAAUUCCACGUGUAGCGGUGAAAUGCGUAGAGAUGUGGAGGAACACCAGUGGCGAAGGCGGCUUUUUGGCCUGUAACUGACGCUGAGGCGCGAAAGCGUGGGGAGCAAACAGGAUUAGAUACCCUGGUAGUCCACGCCGUAAACGAUGAGUGCUAGGUGUUGGGGGGUUCCACCCUCAGUGCUGAAGUUAACACAUUAGCACUCCGCCUGGGGAGUACGACCGCAAGGUUGAAACUCAAAGGAAUUGACGGGGCCCGCACAGCAGUGAGCAUGUGUUAAUUCGAGCACGCGAGAACCUACCAGUCUUGACAUCCUUGACCACCUCUUAGAGAUAGAGCCUUUCCCUUCGGGGACAAUGACAGGUGGUGCCAUGAUGUCGUCAGCUAUUCGAAAUGUUGGUAAGUCGCCACGAGCAACCCUUGACUUAAGUUGCCAGCAUUCAUUUGGGCAUCUAG
rnacentral:rRNA from 1 species